rnacentral:rRNA from 1 species
AAUGCCUGGGAAAUUGCCCAGUCGAGGGGGAUAACAGUUGGAAACGACUGCUAAUACCGCAUACGCCCUACGGGGGAAAGCAGGGGACCUUCGGGCCUUGCGCGAUUGGAUAUGCCCAGGUGGGAUUAGCUAGUUGGUGAGGUAAUGGCUCACCAAGGCGACGAUCCCUAGCUGGUCUGAGAGGAUGAUCAGCCACACUGGAACUGAGACACGGUCCAGACUCCUACGGGAGGCAGCAGUGGGGAAUAUUGCACAAUGGGGGAAACCCUGAUGCAGCCAUGCCGGGUGGGUGAAGAAGGCCUUCGGGUUGUAAAGCACUUUCAGCGAGGAGGAAAGGUCAGUAGCUAAUAUCUGCUGACU